rnacentral:rRNA from 1 species
GUUCUUGGGACAAACCUUGAAGGUGCGACGCCGCGUGAGGCAUGAAGGCUUUAGGGUUGUAAACCUCAGACAGGAGUUAAGAAUGCCGGUGGCGUUAAUAUCGCUACCGAGUGACUAUCUCCAAAGGAAGCUCCGGCUAACUACGUGCCAGCAGCCGCGGUAAUACGUAGGGAGCAAGCGUUACUCGGAAUCACUGGGCAUAAAGGGCGUGUAGGCGGGUGCGUUAGUCCGAUGUGAAAGCCCUCGGCUCAACCGGGGAAUGCCAUUGGAUACUGCGUGCCUGGAGUGCGGGAGGGGAGAGUGGAACUCUUGGUGGAGCGGUGAAAUGCGUAGAUAUCAAGAGGAACGCCGGUGGCGAAAGCGACUCUCUGGCCCGUGACUGACGCUGAGGCGCGAAAGCCAGGGUAGCGAACGGGAUUAGAUACCCCGGUAGUCCUGGCCCUAAACGAUGGGCACUAAGUAGAGGAGGCUCCGAUGUCGUCUCUGCUGUAGCUAACGUGAUAAGUGCCCCGCCUGGGGAGUACGGUCGCAAGGUUGAAACUCAAAGGAAUUGACGGGGGCUCGCACAAGCGGUGGAGGAUGUGGCUCAAUUCGAGGCAACGCGAAGAACCUUACCGGGGUUUGACAUGCUAGUGUACACCCUGAAAGGGAAGGACUCCUUAACGCGAGAGCUAGCAGAGGUAUUGCAUGGCUGUCGUCAGCUCGGGUCGUGAGAUGUCGGGUUAAGUCCUUACGAGCAAACUCUUGUCAUUAGAUGCAGCGGGUAAUGCCGGGGACUCUAUGAGUUGCCGUGGCAACCGGAGGAGGUGGAAACACGUCAGUCACCUGGUUCUAUAUGCCCGGGGCGGAGACUCCUAAAUGGCGUACAUGGGAGCAGACUGUAGGUGAGUAAUCCAAAAGCAGUCCAGUUCGGAUGAGGUGAACCCGCCUGAAUAAAUCGAAUCGAGGACUCGCUAAGCCGUAGGUGUAAUAUUUUCGAACU